rnacentral:rRNA from 1 species
GAUGAACGCUGGCGGCGUGCCUAACACAUGCAAGUCGAGCGAUUUACUUCGGUAAAGAGCGGCGGACGGGUGAGUAACGCGUGGGUAAUCUGCCCUGUACACACGGAUAACAUACCGAAACGUAUGCUAAUACGAGAUAAUAUACUUUUAUCGCAUGGUAGAAGUAUCAAAGCUCCGGCAGUACAGGAUGGACCCUCGUCUGAUUAGCUAGUUGGUAAGGUAACGGCUUACCAAGGCGACAGUCAGUAGCCGACCUGAGAGGGUGAUCGGCCACAUUGGAACUGAGACACGGUCCAAACUCCUACGGGAGGCAGCAGUGGGGAAUAUUGCACAAUGGGCGAAAGCCUGAUGCAGCAACGCCGCGUGAGCGAUGAAGGCCUUCGGGUCAUAAAGCUCUGUCCUCAAGGAAGAUAAUGACGGUACUUGAGGAGGAAGCCCCGGCUAACUACGUGCCAGCCGCCGCCGUAA